AAGGACCCUGUGUGCAGCCAAACCUACUUUCUCAAGGAAAAGUCAGGAAAUCCUGUUUAGAAUUAUUUUUUAACUGCAUUUUACAUUCCACCUGGAUUUUAAAGCAGGCAAACUUCAGUGAGAGGAUUAGUUUCUAAGACUGGAACAAAUCUUUCUGGGGGAAGAAGAGGAGGAGUAAGCAAACACAACUGUCAUUUGGAACAAGAAUUAAGAAGAUGAAAUGUGAAGAAAUGCUGACUUAGACUGAUCUAAUCACCAAAGUGUAGUUCAGGGAUGUGAGCUAUGAAGCUGAGGCUUGGACUACAGAAAACACCUGGACAGUGCUGUAUAUACAUGAAGACUCGCUGUGUAUUCAGUGUGGCACAUGGAUGGAGUGGAUGCUUUGAACUGCUUUUGCAACAAUGGAUGCUGCUUGACUGAUAAUGAAACCAUGGGAUUGACCUCAGGGAGUGGUAAAGAUAUGAGGGAUCCUGAGGUCACUGUGCCAUGUGGGACAUCAACUGAAUGUGCCAAAGAUUGUGAACAUGAGUCUUCUUACAAGUGAGUUGUUUCCUGGUGUUGAAAUUUUUGCCAUUUACAGUUAUCCUUCCAGUCCUUAAACAUUUUUUAGGUCUUUAAAAAAAAUAAAUUCUUUAGUUGGAAUUUAUAGUAAUAACCUGUUUUUGCCCAAAAUAAUUGUGUUUAUUAGUGGUUACUUUGAAUCA